rnacentral:rRNA from 1 species
UACGUAGGGGGCUAGCGUUGUCCGGAAUCAUUGGGCGUAAAGCGCGUGUAGGCGGUCCGGUAAGUCCGCUGUGAAAGUCGAGGGCUCAACCCUCGAAUGCCGGUGGAUACUGUCGGGCUAGAGUGCGGAAGAGGCGAGUGGAAUUCCUGGUGUAGCGGUGAAAUGCGCAGAUAUCAGGAGGAACACCGAUUGCGAAGGCAGCUCGCUGGGACGUCACUGACGCUGAGACGCGAAAGCGUGGGGAGCAAACAGG